rnacentral:rRNA from 1 species
AGGUCCCAAGGGUUUGGCUGUUCGCCAAUUAAAGCGGUACGCGAGCUGGGUUUAAAACGUCGUGAGACAGUUUGGUCCCUAUCUGCCGUGGGCGCAGGAUACUUGAGGGGAGCUGUCCCUAGUACGAGAGGACCGGGAUGGACGAACCUACGGUGUUCCAGUUGUGACGCCAGUCGCAGCGCUGGGUAGCCGUGUUCGGAAGGGAUAACCGCUGAAAGCAUCUAAGCGGGAAGCCCACCCCAAGAUGAGGUAUCCCUCCUGAUAGCAAUAUCGGGAUAAGACCCCUUGGAGACUACAAGGUUGAUAGGUCAGAUGUGUAAGUACCGUGAGGUAUUUAGCAGACUGAUACUAAUAGGUCGAUUGGCUUGACCAUAA